rnacentral:rRNA from 1 species
GAUGAACGCUGGCGGCGUGCCUAAUACAUGCAAGUCGAGCGAACAGACGAGGAGCUUGCUCCUCUGACGUUAGCGGCGGACGGGUGAGUAACACGUGGAUAACCUACCUAUAAGACUGGGAUAACUUCGGGAAACCGGAGCUAAUACCGGAUAAUAUAUUGAACCGCAUGGUUCAAUAGUGAAAGGCGGUUUUGCUGUCACUUAUAGAUGGAUCCGCGCCGCAUUAGCUAGUUGGUGAGGUAACGGCUUACCAAGGCAACGAUGCGUAGCCGACCUGAGAGGGUGAUCGGCCACACUGGAACUGAGACACGGUCCAGACUCCUACGGGAGGCAGCAGUAGGGAAUCUUCCGCAAUGGGCGAAAGCCUGACGGAGCAACGCCGCGUGAGUGAUGAAGGUCUUCGGAUCGUAAAACUCUGUUAUUAGGGAAGAACAAAUGUGUAAGUAACUAUGCACGUCUUGACGGUACCUAGUCAGAAAGCCACGGCUAACUACGUG